UCCCACUGGCUCUGCAGCCCCCGCGCACCCCACUCCACCCGUGACCCGCCAGGUCCCAGUGACCUUGCAGUUUUCGCUGAUCCUCAUCCCCGCCCGGACCGUCUGCCGCCCUUUCCUAGACGUUAAUUUCGUGGUUGGCCCAUCGUUUUGCCACGGUGGAGGGAUCCGCGUGUGCCAGUCCGUUCGGUCCAGUCUUUACCCCGUGGGCCGGGAGUGGACCUGCCUUCGUCCCGUGGUGACCAGACGAGCCCGCGGUCUGUCCUGUGGACAUUUUACUCUUCGGGGCUUGACGGACUGGCUUGCUCUGUUGAGUUUUCCUGGGACUGUCUGCGGACCCCUCUCGGUUCCAGGUGCCGCAGCGCUGGUGAGGCUGAGGGAUGAAUUGGGCGCCUGGAGAGCAGGUAUGCCCUACAUCACUCCUUCCUCCAUUCAGGAGAAAGCCUUUACCAACUAAAAAUGUAAACUUGACAAAAUAAACGGAGGGCUGGGACAUAGUGCGUUUUCUCACUGGAUUAUGUCGUCAACUCUCCCCAGUAUGGUUACAGCAUAAUUUGAUUAGUAAACAGUUGACUUUUCUGCAUCUAUAGGAAUGUCUUCUUGGUAGAAUCAGAAAAAGUUAUUAGUAUUUUUUUUAGCUUUAGAAAUUUUGAUUCCGUAAUUAUUAGAAAGA